ACGCGGGCAUGCUCUAGUACGGCGAGUGAGCAGCAAUAGCUCAAAUUUGAAAUCUGGCGUCUUCGGCGUCCGAGUUGUAAUUUGUAGAGGAUGCUUCUGGGCAGCCACCGACCUAAGUUCCUUGGAACAGGACGUCAUAGAGGGUGAGAAUCCCGUAUGCGGUCGGAAAGGCACCCUACACGUAGCUCCUUCGACGAGUCGAGUUGUUUGGGAAUGCAGCUCUAAAUGGGAGGUAAAUUUCUUCUAAAGCUAAAUAUUGGCCAGAGACCGAUAGCGCACAAGUAGAGUGAUCGAAAGAUGAAAAGCACUUUGGAAAGAGAGUUAAAAAGCACGUGAAAUUGUUGAAAGGGAAGGGAUUGCAACCAGACUUGCUCGCGGUGUUCCGCCGGUCUUCUGACCGGUCUACUCGCCGCGUUGCAGGCCAGCAUCGUCUGGUGCCGCUGGAUAAGACUUGAGGAAUGUAGCUCCCUCGGGAGUGUUAUAGCCUCUUGUGAUGCAGCGAGCGCCGGGCGAGGUCCGCGCUUCGGCUAGGAUGCUGGCGUAAUGGUUGUAAUCCGCCCGUCUUGAAAACCGGACCAAA
rnacentral:rRNA from 1 species